rnacentral:rRNA from 1 species
UACGAAGGGUGCAAGCGUUACUCGGAAUUACUGGGCGUAAAGCGUGCGUAGGUGGUUUGUUAAGUCUGAUGUGAAAGCCCUGGGCUCAACCUGGGAAUUGCAUUGGAUACUGGCAGGCUAGAGUGCGGUAGAGGGUAGUGGAAUUCCCGGUGUAGCAGUGAAAUGCGUAGAGAUCGGGAAGGAACAUCUGUGGCGAAGGCGACUACCUGGACCAGCACUGACACUGAGGCACGAAAGCGUGGGGAGCAAACAGG